AGUGAACGCUGGCGGCGUGCCUAACACAUGCAAGUCGAACGAGAACGGGUUAUAGCUUGCUAUAAUUGUCAGCUAAGUGGCGCACGGGUGAGUAGUGUAUAGGUAAUAUGCCUCUUACUAAGGGAUAACAAAUGGAAACGUUUGCUAAUACCUUAUACUCCUUAUUAACAUAAGUUAAUAAGGGAAAGAUUUAUUGGUAAGAGAUUAGCCUGUAUUGUAUCAGUUAGUUGGUGGGGUAAUGGCUUACCAAGACUAUGACACAUAACUGGUUUGAGAGGAUGAUCAGUCACACUGGAACUGAGACACGGUCCAGACUCCUACGGGAGGCAGCAGUGGGGAAUAUUGCACAAUGGACGAAAGUCUGAUGCAGCAACGCCGCGUGGAGGAUGACACAUUUCGGUGCGUAAACUCCUUUUAUAUGAGAAGAUAAUGACGGUAUUAUAUGAAUAAGCACCGGCUAACUCCGUGCCAGCAGCCGCCGUAAGAC
rnacentral:rRNA from 1 species